UCAAUCAUUUAUUGAUGAAAGUGAAGCUGCAUUAACUCGUCUUGGUGUCUUGUGCUGUUCGAAGCGUCCUUUCACAUGGGAACACGGACAACAGCAGAAAACAGACACCUGUAAGGUGAAGUCUCUCUGCAGGAGGAUGUAGCAGGUUACUCAUUUGAACCCUCGGGCUGGCAGAAUGAUGCUGUGGUUGGGCCCCUGAGUAAGGCCCCUAACCUCCAGCUCCAGGAGCACUGCACACUGGCCGACCCUGCACUGUAACCCCCAUGCCUGCUGUCACCUGUACAUGUAUCUGUGUGUCACAUAUGGGCUGCAACUACGAAUUAGGAUGUGGCCAGACACCUGUCUUUGCGUGGUUGUGGCCCCCCCGGAAACCGUCUUCCA